rnacentral:lncRNA from 1 species
AUGAAAGACGAGACACGAUAUGAUCCAGAUGUAACGCCUCCAAGAGUUCCAUAUCGGAUUGAAUACUGAUUCUGAUCGGUUUAUAUGAAAUCUACACGCUAGUUAUAAUAACUGGGCUUAAGUAUUUUGGGCCGGUGGUUUGAGCCCAACGAAUUAUUGUUGCUGGUGGAUCGGGUCAUUACAUCAGAUACGACAACUCGAUAGUUUUUUAAAAAUUAGGGCACAGACACGAGUCCGAUAUAGACACGUGCUUGUCCGACACGAAUACGCGAGAUUAAUAAAAGUAUUCGUAAAAUAUAAACCCGUACUGACUGUCGAGGUAUCGCCGUAGAUCUAUUAAGGGUCAGUUUGGUUCUUUGAAAAUA